rnacentral:rRNA from 1 species
AUGGCGAACGCCGAGACCCUGGACGACUUCGCUGGCAGACUCGGUGGGAUGGCGGCGCGCUACGCGGCGUUGGGCUCAACCCUGGAGGACGCAGCCCUCGUCAAGAAGCUGCUCGACUCGGUGCCGAACCGCCUGUACCCGGCGGUGGCCGGGAUCGAGCAGUUCUGUGAUGUCGACACCAUGGCGUUCGAGGACGCGCUGGGGCGGCUGAAAGCCUUCGACGAGCGGCUGCGGCGACGCGAUCAGGCAGGCGGCGAGGGCGCGGACGGGCAGCUGCUGUACACCGCGGCACAGUGGCGUGCGCGCGAGCGGCGU